UUCCCAGUGACGGGUUGCAGCUGGAAGUGCAUCCAAUGCGUAAAAAAUAUUCUGGAUGAGUUGGCGGUUCAUUCCACUGUGGCAACCCCUGAUUAAUAAAGGGACUUUGCCAAAAAAAAUUAAUAUGAGUAAAUUGUAUUUUUUGGGUGAACUGUCCCUUCAAAAGUGAUGCUUGAUGAUCUUCAAACUCAAAAAUCGACCAGUUUCUUCAUUUUAAGAUCCUCUCUAGCAAGAAUAUAUGUUGAUAUUGUUUAACCAAUGUGCUGAUCUGAACCAAUUCCAGGAGGACAGAGCUGAAUGCUGGACGUCUUCAGAUCAAACUAAGUGAGAACAGCAGUGUUGCAUUGUGGGUACCCAUCAGUGAUAAAACAAAAUAGUGUCUUCAAGGCUCAGAUUUCUGUAAGUACUUAUUUUUUUUUGCACAUACUUUUUAGAAACAAAGGUCACAGUAAUUCCCCUGAAAGCUGAUUUCUUGUAAUAACUAGUGUGUAAUAUAUUGUCAUAUUAAAUGAAUGUCUGGAAAUGUGUGUACUAUAUUCAGUUUGCUCAAUAAAGAUAUUUUUCACACCAG